rnacentral:rRNA from 1 species
AACGAACGCUGGCGGCAGGCUUAACACAUGCAAGUCGAGCGCCUCGCAAGGGGAGCGGCAGACGGGUGAGUAACGCGUGGGAAACUACCCUUUGGUACGGAAUAACACAGAGAAAUUUGUGCUAAUACCGUAUGAGCCCUUCGGGGGAAAGAUUUAUCGCCAUAGGAUGUGCCCGCGUAGGAUUAGCUAGUUGGUGUGGUAAUGGCGCACCAAGGCGAUGAUCCUUAGCUGGUCUGAGAGGAUGAUCAGCCACACUGGGACUGAGACACGGCCCAGACUCCUACGGGAGGCAGCAGUGGGGAAUAUUGGACAAUGGGCGCAAGCCUGAUCCAGCCAUGCCGCGUGAGUGAUGAAGGCCUUAGGGUUGUAAAGCUCUUUCACCCACGACGAUAAUGACGGUAGUGGGAGAAGAAGCCCCGGCUAACUUCGUG